rnacentral:misc_RNA from 1 species
UCGUUUAUGCGGUCGACGAUCUUGAGGCCUGGGCCGAGCGCGGCGCCGUCACCUCCACCUCCGAUCCGCGCGGCAGCGUGCUUCCGGCCAAGCGCCAUACGCCUGCGCCGCCGGCACAUGCCGGACGAUACGCGCGCUGAUCGCCCCCGGAUUCCCGAAUGGCGGCGCGACACCAGUCCCUCUCGGAGCGCGGGCAGCUCGAUCUGUUCCGUGCGCUCCCCGGCGAGUUCGCAGCACGAGACGCACAGGAUCUCAUGGCCUAUCCGUUU